rnacentral:lncRNA from 1 species
UAAGAACAAUGUCAUUUCAAAAUUAACGGGAUAUACCUGCACGUACAUAAGGAGACUGCAGCAAAGAGCAGACCCCUCCUUUCUCUAAGCUGAGCCAGAGUUUCAACUGGCUGCCGACUUUCCCCAAGAUGACAAAGUUGAAAAUGUGCCCGAGAGCCAACCCUUUCCUUUCCUCUAUUUGAUUUCCAUGCCCCAGCCACUGUAGACCUGACCCCAGGACCUCCUUGCUCUACAAAUGGAUGUUGUACUGCCCAAGCUGCUCCAGAAUUGGAAAUGUAGCAUUUGUGGAUGUGAGGACUUGCAGAGCAGGACAAAAACAUUUGUCUGAAUGGGUUUCCAAUGGGAAAUGGCCUUGUCAUUGCACCCGGCAGCCACAUGACACGACUGCGGGGAUGUGCGGCGCAAUGUGGUUUCGGGUGCUCUCUGCCUUCCAUGAUGUCUUGGGUCUGUCUUUGCCUUCUUCCAGUAUGAGGAAGGCUUGAGGUUCAAAACAGAGACUGUAUCCAUGUAUGUUCCCUUUGAUCUCUUAUUUCUGUCCUUGUUCCUUACUGAGUUCCAUGAGGAUAACAACAGUAAUACCACAAAGCUGCUGGGGUGACUUCUUGUUUCAGUUCCAGCCUCUGAUCUUCUCUCUAAUGCCUUUGAAAGUAAACAGCACUGAGGUUUAUUUCAGACUGGCAGUGGCCUACUGGCCAUUUCCAUUUUUUACGGAACUGGAGAAAUCAUAAGAAAAUUAAAACCCCAAACCAAACCAAAACACCUUUGCUGGUGAAGUCUGGGGAAGCCACAGAAAAGUGGAUUCAAACAAGGUGACCUCAAAACAGAACUUUGUCUCUGCUCUUUGUGGAGAAAGCUGAACUCAGGUGCCUGGACUGGUGCUGAGAAAGCCUCAGCAAAGUUACUAUUUCUAACACCGGAGCAACUUGAAUACCAAACCCAAACAUCUCUGUUCCUUGCCUGGGUGGACUGAAUGAGGAUCAUUAUACUUACCUACUCAUCCUGGUAUGAUUGAGGUGGCCCUCAUUAGUACCACAUCAAUAUGCUUUACAGCUCCUGUUAGCGACGGAUGAGCAAAACCUUGGCACCUGCAGCAUCUACCGCUGCAGUAAGCAAAAGCAAAGGCCACAGGCAACUUGGGAAAGGUAUAAAUACCUAAAUAUAUUAAUA